UGACAUAUGUUAAACGGCCGCGGUAUUUUGACCGUGCAAAGGUAGCGCAAUAAAUUGUCUCUUAAUUGAAGACUAGUAUGAAUGGCAUCACGAGGGCUUAACUGUCUCCCCUUUAAAGUCAAUGAAAUUGAUCUCCCCGUGCAGAAGCGGGGAUACUUACGUAAGACGAGAAGACCCUACGGAGCUUUAGAUAAAGAGCAACCCACAUCAACUACCCCCCUAAAGGAAAUGAACAAAGUGAACCUUGCCCAUAUGUCUUCGGUUGGGGCGACCACGGGGAAAGACAAAACCCCCACACGGACCAGGGCCACUCAGCCCUUAAACAUAGACCCACAGGUCAAAUCAAGAGUACUUCUAACCACUAAGACCCGGCUCUUCGCCGAUCAAUGGACCUAGUUACCCUAGGGAUAACAGCGCAAUCCCCUCCAAGAGCCCUCAUCGACGAGGGGGUUUACGACCUCGAUGUUGGAUCAGGACAUCCUAAUGGUGCAGCCGCUAUUAAGGGUUCGUUUGUUCAACGACUAAUAGUCCUACGUGAUCUGAGUC
rnacentral:rRNA from 1 species